rnacentral:rRNA from 1 species
CCUACGGGGGGCAGCAGUGAGGAAUAUUGGUCAAUGGACGAGAGUCUGAACCAGCCAAGUAGCGUGAAGGAUGACUGCCCUAUGGGUUGUAAACUUCUUUUAUAAAGGAAUAAAACGAGGCACGUGUGCCUUUUUGCAUGUACUUUAUGAAUAAGGAUCGGCUAACUCCGUGCCAGCAGCCGCGGUAAUACGGGGGAUGCGAGCGUUAUCCGGAUUUAUUGGGUUUAAAGGGUGCGCAGGCGGAGGCACAAGUCAGCGGUAAAAUCGCGGGGCUAAACCCCGCUCCGCCGUUGAAACUGUGUCCCUUGAGUGUGCGAAGGGUAGGCGGAAUGCGUGGUGUAGCGGUGAAAUGCAUAGAUAUCACGAAGAACUCCGAUUGCGAAGGCAGCAUACCGGCGCUCAACUGACGCUCAUGCACGAAAGUGUGGGUAUCGAACAGGAUUAGAUACCCGGGUAGUC